rnacentral:rRNA from 1 species
GAUGAACGCUGGCGGCGUGCCUAAUACAUGCAAGUCGAGCGAACAGAUAAGGAGCUUGCUCCUUUGACGUUAGCGGCGGACGGGUGAGUAACACGUGGGUAACCUACCUAUAAGACUGGAAUAACUCCGGGAAACCGGGGCUAAUGCCGGAGAACAUUUAGAACCGCAGGGUUCUAAAGUGAAAGAUGGUUUUGCUAUCACUUAUAGAUGGACCCGCGCCGUAUUAGCUAGUUGGUAAGGUAACGGCUUACCAAGGCAACGAUACGUAGCCGACCGGAGAGGGUGAUCGCCCACACUGGAACUGAGCCACGGUCCAGACUCCUACGGGAGGCAGCAGUAGGGAAUCUUCCGCAAUGGGCGAAAGCCUGACGGAGCAACGCCGCGUGAGUGAUGAAGGUCUUCGGAUCGUAAAACUCUGUUAUUAGGGAAGAACAACUGUGUAAGUAACUGUGCACGUCUUGACGGUACCUAAUCAGAAAGCCACGGCUAACUACGUG